rnacentral:tRNA from 1 species
GGGAAAGUGGCCGAGCUUUAGGCGGUAAACUGUAAAUUUACAGACGGAUUAAAUCCCUUUUCCA